ensembl:lncRNA
AUGGCUGGAGGAUCACAAAAAAAGACCUGCCCAAACUACGGGGAAAAAAUAUACUGCGGACUUAAAAUUUGUUCGUUUUGCAAACAUCCACAACCCCAACACGUCAGACUUCAGAAAAAGAUGGAAAAAUGUAAAAGUCAGCAGAAGCCGUGGUUGGCAUCCAUGAAAAAAAAUAAAAUAAAGUCCCACGUUCUUGAUGAUGCUGCCAUUCUGCUUGAGAAGUUGUAUGCCCUUGGCAUGAAGCCCCUGCUGCUGAUUGCACAUCCUCCUAAGAUGGUGACAGGGACACACACGUACCAGACUAAAAUAAUGCUGCCAGUGCAUGCCCAACUUAGCACAUCCGCUAAGACAUGCUUAGAGAAUGUGAAUGCCAUCUACAAAUUGUUGGUUGAAGGUUGGACAAGACUCAACCCAGACCAACUGCCUCAAGAAGACGAGGAGAAAUUCAUUCUAAAUUUGGUGCCGUGUGGUUCACCCAUCCAAGAACCAGCACACCAGGCUCUUUCCAGCCACACACCACCACACACAGUUCCACCCAUCCAGGAACCAGCACACCAGGCUCCACCCAUCCAAGAACCAGCACACCAGGCUCCACCCAUCCAGGAACCAGCACACCAGGCUCCACCCAUCCAGGAACCAUCACACCAGGCUCCACCCAUCCAAGAACCAGCACACCUGGCUCUUUCCAGCCACACACCACCACACACAGCUCUACCCAUCCAGGAACCAGCACACCAGGUCUCAGCUGUGCAGCCACCACUGCGGGGUCCACAGCAACGUAAAAGACUACAAAAAAUCAAAGGUGUGUUUUAG